UUAUGGACUCCACUACACUGCUGUCUGUGGUGGGCGGGGCUCUCCUCCUGUCAAUCAUCCUUGUAACCAGUCUUUGUACAUACUGCUGGGGACAUAGACAACCAACAUCCAUCCAUCAGAGGUCCAGUGACUCAGAAUACCCCCCAACAUCAGGUUUUGUGGUUCGGCAUCCCGUGUCGACAUAUGCGCCCCAUAUGGACCAUACCAGAAUUGUACCUUACCAACAUUCCAAUUCUCUUGGUUCACCAUCUAUCACUGUCACAAAGGUGCACUCCUGUCCUCCCUCAGAAACUGGAAGUCAAGCCAGUUAUGUGAAUCAAAACGGUGAGGAGGGAAUCAACAUUCAUGACAAUCAUCAUGAGAGUGGCGAUGAGCGGAGCAAUCGGCCUCAAAGUGAAUACAUAACUGUUCUUCCUGAUCCCCCAAUCACACAGUCGCAGGGACCCAGCAGAGCUUCCUCCCUGAGCUCAGGAGAAUGUUACAUAAAUGUAGAAAAAGAUGAGAAUGUGUCUGAAGAAGAUCAAUGCGACAACCAGACAUGCGUGGAUGAAUCAGACUCAGACAUGCACGAUUAUGAAAAUUUCUGUAAUUCUUCAGGCCUCAGAAAAAAAACCUAUAGUCUGUCCCGUGGAAGUCAAAGCAGUGAUGAACGGGAGAGCUCUGAUUAUGUCAACACAGGCCCUAGUUUACAAUAAUCAAG
ensembl:lncRNA